CUUGGUUCAGAUUGAACGCUGGCGGCGUAGCUUAACACAUGCAAGUCGAACGCGAAAGGGACUUCGGUCCUGAGUAAAGUGGCGCACGGGUGAGUAACGCGUGGAUAAUCUGCCCUUAUGAUCGGGAUAACAGUUGAAACGGCUGCUAAUACCGGAUACGCUCAAAAUGAACUUUUUGAGGAAAGAUGGCCUCUGCUUGCAUGCUAUCACGUAAGGAUGAGUCCGCGUCCCAUUAGCUUGUUGGCGGGGUAACGGCCCACCAAGGCAACGAUGGGUAGCCGAUUUGAGAGGAUGAUCGGCCACACUGGAACUGAAACACGGUCCAGACUCCUACAGGAGGCAGCAGUGGGGAAUAUUGCGCAAUGGGCGAAAGCCUGACGCAGCGACGCCGCGUGAGGGAUGAAGGUUUUCGGAUCGUAAACCUCUGUCAGAAGGGAAGAAACUACGUUGUGCUAAUCAGCAGCGUACUGACGGUACCUUCAAAGGAAGCACCGGCUAACUCCGUGCCAGCCGCUGC
rnacentral:rRNA from 1 species